rnacentral:misc_RNA from 1 species
GUUGAAAUACUGUACGAAAAUGAAAUAUACUGAAAUUCCUAUUACAAUCUGAUUGUUCCAUGCAGCUUCAAAAACGAAACAUGACUAUUAUGAAAUUAUUAUGAGAUUGAUCAUCGCAAGCUCUGUUUUCAUGCAUACACUUUAAGAAUUCCAUGAGGUUUGUAUUUUAAUGAGUGUGAGAGUUCUUUAACAGACUAUUUGUACAGUGUGUGUGUGUGGCGAUGAUUGCAUGAAUGUUGUUUUAUUUGUGACAUUUUGGUUUUUUAAUUUCAAGUAAUGUGCUAUUUGUUUAUAGUGCUAGAACCUUACGAAAUAUGUAAUGUAACUGUACAUGCGUAUUUUUCUGUCUGGGAGAUAAAUAGUUUUUACCAUGGACUUCUACAACACACUAUGAUAUCAACUUAAUGGUGUAAAAUUUAGCAGCAUAUGGCUAUCUGUCUACCACAAGUAAUGUAGCCAUAUGGUGUAAUAUUUUUAUCAACUUUAUUUGUGAUUUUAACUAUUGAUGCAUUUUUGGAUACUCUUUUAUCAUUUCUAAGAUGGUGAAACUUUAAUCAAUUCCAGUGUAUUAAAGGUCAUUUAAGGUUUAGAUAUGGAAGUUUUAAGUACAUUUCAAGAUUUAAUAGGUGUGUGCUAGAGUGAUCUUUUUUUUUGUAAAGAAAAAGUUUAAGUAUGGUUUGAUUACCUGUAUAAUUGUGUGAAAAUCAGAAAACUUCCACCUGUGAUUUUGUGUACUUGCAUAAUGUGAAAUUGAUUGCAAACAAAGGUUUGUGUGCAUAUUCAAUAUUAAUCUGUUGUUGAGUUAAAUAUUUAUAUCAAUAAAUUUAUAUGUAGCCCU